rnacentral:misc_RNA from 1 species
UGGUUCUGGCAUCGAUGAAGAACGCAGCGAAAUGCGAUAAGUAAUGUGAAUUGCAGAAUUCAGUGAAUCAUCGAAUCUUUGAACGCACAUUGCGCCCCUUGGUAUCCCGGGGGGCAUGCCUGUUCGAGCGUCAUUACAACCCUCAAGCUCUGCUUGGUGUUGGGUGCCACCUCCGGGUGCACCUCAAAAUUAGUGGCGGUGCCGUCUGGCUUCAAGCGUAGUAAUACUUCUCGCUUCGGGGUCCGGCCGGGUUCUCGCUAGAAUCACUAUCAUCAGGUUGACCUCGGAUCAGGUAGGGAUACCCGCUGA